CGAUUUAUUGGGCGUAAAGCGAGCGCAGGCGGUCUUUUAAGUCUAAUGUGAAAGCCUUUCGGCUCAACCGAAGAAGUGCAUUGGAAACUGGGAGACUUGAGUGCAGAAGAGGACAGUGGAACUCCAUGUGUAGCGGUGAAAUGCGUAGAUAUAUGGAAGAACACCAGUGGCGAAGGCGGCUGUCUGGUCUGCAACUGACGCUGAGGCUCGAAAGCAUGGGUAGCGAACAGGAUUAGAUACCCUGGUAGUCCAUGCCGUAAACGAUGAUUACUAAGUGUUGGAGGGUUUCCGCCCUUCAGUGCUGCAGCUAACGCAUUAAGUAAUCCGCCUGGGGAGUACGACCGCAAGGUUGAAACUCAAAAGAAUUGACGGGGGCCCGCACAAGCGGUGGAGCAUGUGGUUUAAUUCGAAGCUACGCGAAGAACCUUACCAGGUCUUGACAUCUUCUGACAGUCUAAGAGAUUAGAGGUUCCCUUCGGGGACAGAAUGACAGGUGGUGCAUGGUUGUCGUCAGCUCGUGUCGUGAGAUGUUGGGUUAAGUCCCGCAACGAGCGCAACCCUUAUUACUAGUUGCCAGCAUUAAGUUGGGCACUCUAGUGAGACUGCCGGUGACAAACCGGAGGAAGGUGGGGACGACGUCAAAUCAUCAUGCCCCUUAUGACCUGGGCUACACACGUGCUACAAUGGAUGGUACAACGAGUCGCGAGACCGCGAGGUUAAGCUAAUCUCUUAAAACCAUUCUCAGUUCGGACUGUAGGCUGCAACUCGCCUACACGAAGUCGGAAUCGCUAGUAAUCGCGGAUCAGCAUGCCGCGGUGAAUACGUUCCCGGGCCUUGUACACACCGCCCGUCACACCAUGAGAGUUUGUAACACCCAAAGCCGGUGGGGUAACCUUUUAGGAGCUAGCCGUCUAAGGUGGGACAGAUGAUUAGGGUGAAGUCGAACAGUGCAGUCAUAAAAGCAAUAUUUCGAGCCC
rnacentral:rRNA from 1 species